GCGGGAGUGGUGAAACGGUAGACACGCAGGAUUUAGGUUCCUGUGCAGAGAUGCGUGUGGGUUCGAGUCCCACCUUCCGCA
rnacentral:tRNA from 1 species